AAAGUCGUAACAAGGUUUCCGUAGGUGAACCUGCGGAAGGAUCAUUAACGAUUGCUACAUAUGCAAAACAAAACGUUUAACGUUUGUGUGGUUUUUGACUGGAUUUUACUCGAAAACUCCUGACGAGAUCAGGAAGGAUGAUGCCUCUCGCGCAAGCGAGGACAAGGCCAUCGUGGUCGUUGUGCGUUAGCCCUGCGAACGAUGUAAAACAAACAACCGAUGGCCUCUCAUACAGUAUAAUAUCUCUCGCCAUGGCGUACAGGCCUGGCAUCUGGUACGAGUCUCUCGCAGUCUCAAAACCAACCUUACAACUCUGAGCGGUGGAUCACUUGGCUUGUGGAUGCUAUGAAGACCAUAGCUAAGUGUGAGAAUGGCAGCGAGCCGUCGCUAUAUGCGCUGUCCUCUUCUUAUCACAUGUCGAAUGCACAUUGCGCCCCACCCAGCGGCGGCUAAACAACCUGCAGACAAAAGCCUGAUAGUUGGAACAAAGGCAAGUGUGUGGCCCUCGAGCAACGGCGGGGGAGCCAGGAGCACAUGAGCGUGCGGACCAACUUCUCGUUAGUAGUCAGGCUGACCCUAUGGUGGGGCACUCCUAGUCGAGUGUGGUGGAUCGGACUCAUCUCUUUCGCGCGCUGCGUCUGAGCUUGAGUUUCUUUGUUGCUGGAGGCUAUUUGGGUCGACAUCAGUCGUGCCCGUAAACAACUGCCUUGGCUCGUGCCUCUGUGCGUUCUGGCUUAACCUCUGGAGGUGCGUACAUUGAAGGCCAACGCUGGCGAUCACUCUUGCGGCCAGGGCACUACCUAUGCCAUGCAUGUCAUGCAUGGCGGUACUGCGCAGAGGUCCAAAUGGAUUUUGAAUACGAGAGUCGAGUCUUUAGUACUCUGGCCCGCUUGCACUCGGGGAGAGGGUGGUGAUAUGGUGAUAUCUGCGUAUACGCUUUUCUGGUAUGGGUUCGUCUCUCUCGUAGUAUUCGAGAAUGACAAGCCUUACUUCUUUUGUUCACACACAGGCUGGCAGACAAAGAAACGCCUGACGAGAUCAGGACGGAUUUUCUCUAACAGUGUGACAGGAGAGACGGAGAGGCCUGCAAUACCGCUCCACUUUUCGAUGAACUGGGUGCGACCGUUGGUAUGAGAAAGACUUUGGCUCUUCGUGUUUGUGAUAGCCACCACCUCGACUUAGGAGAGGUUACCCGCUGAACUUAAGCAUAUCAGUAAGCGGAGGAAAAGAAACCAAUCAGGGAUUCCCUUAGUAGGGGCGACCGAACAGGGAUGAGCCCAGCGCAGAACCUCCCGGGCCACCCGGCCUGCGGCGGAAUGUUGCGUUAAGGGAAAGGUCGUAGUCAAACCCCACAGCCACGCGAGCUCUAAGUAAGUCACGAAUUGGCUAUCCCAACUAACGGCGGGAAAAUCUCCACGGAGGGUGUAAGACCCGUGUGGGCGCGUGUAAAUGCUGUGUGGGCUCGGCCUCUUUUCCCUGAGAGUCGCGUUGCUUGAGCAUGCAGCGCUAAGCAGGUCGUAAACUCGAUCUAAGGCUAAAUAUGUCCACAAGACCGAUAGCGAACAAGUACCGUGAGGGAAAGUUGAAAAGCACUCUGAAGAGAG
rnacentral:rRNA from 1 species